rnacentral:lncRNA from 1 species
UAAUAUUAUGAAAAAAUAUAAACUUAUGAAAGAUGAGAUUUUGUUACGUGUAAAUGGUGGUUUGGUUGAGAUUUUGUGUUUGUAAAGGUUGGAAUGGUUGGUGGUGUUUUUGUUUGAGAUGAUUUUUGUGUGUUGUGGGUUGGAAAUUUGAAAUUUGUUUUCACUGCAAUGCUUUUCGAAAGACUGUUUGGUCAUAACGGCCAUGCUUUCUUGACUGCAAUGCCUUUGUUCCAGAUGUUCC